CAAACACCAAAGACACAGACACACCAGAAAUGCAUGGAAUUAAAGAAUAGAAAGCAUGGGAAACAUAGAAGGUUUCCUGAUUGGCAUGAGGCCUACUACUUCUACUUCAGGACCAAGUCGAUACUAAAAUAAAAAAGAUGUAACGACAGCAGUGUUUCUGCAGUACCGAUCACCGACUCUAUCUGGUACCAGCACACAGCAUGACUGACACGACAGCUUUAAAAUGCGCACAGGCUUAUUUUGAACGCGUGCUCUGUUACUCCUUGUACACUGAAAUGGACAAUUAAUCCAAUUCAAAUCAUGGAAUUAAAGAAUAGAAAUCAUGGAAAACAUAGAAGGAAGUUAAAAGGAAAAAUUCCUAAGUGGCAGUACAAGGCAGAGGUGAAGUGGCCAUCAGGAGAGCCUGGACUUGACCGUGAAACUGGGCCAGAUAUGCCAAAGUGGGCCACAAUAUGAUGAAGGGGGCCACGAUAUCCUGGUAAAGCAUUUGUUCAAAAGGUCAGCAAAAUGUCUUUAAGCAGAUGUUUUUCAGCAGAGGUAUUAUUGCACCCCUGAACUCUUGACCUCUGGACUCUUUUGAAGUCUCUCUCAGAAUGUUGUCAGGCUUCCCAAAACUGCCAAGAAAACAAACUCACUAACAGCCAAUCAGCAUGAACCAUGAUACAGCAACCUUUCAGCCUAACCAAUCAGAACUAUUCAUUGCACCUUGUUCAUCCUUCAUCUCAUUAACAUGCAGAACUUUCUAAAGUUAAUAUCAGAUUAG